rnacentral:rRNA from 1 species
UGGGGAAUAUUGCGCAAUGGGCGAAAGCCUGACGCAGCGACGCCGCGUGGGUGAUGAAGGCCUUCGGGUCGUAAAGCCCUGUCGCAGGGGAAGAACAAGCGUACGGAUAAUACCCGUGCGCCCUGACGGUACCCUGCAAGAAAGCACCGGCUAACUCCGUGCCAGCAGCCGCGGUAAUACGAGGGGGGCAAGCGUUGUUCGGAUUUAUUGGGCGUAAAGGGUGCGUAGGCGGUUUGGCAAGUCUUGUGUGAAAUCUUCGGGCUCAACCCGAAGCCUGCACAAGAAACUGCCGGGCUUGAGUAUGGGAGAGGUGAGUGGAAUUUCCGGUGUAGCGGUGAAAUGCGUAGAUAUCGGAAGGAACACCUGUGGCGAAAGCGGCUCACUGGACCAUAACUGACGCUGAGGCACGAAAGCUAGGGGAGCAAAC